UUACAGAUGAUGGCUCCAGCAAAGAAGUGAAAGAGGCGAUUCCCUGGAAGGCCAAGGGUAAUAAGGCACGGCCUUGUCAACAGUAGCAGAUCAAGUUAUUAAAGAAUAAGUUAGUGGAUUGCUUUGUUGUGGAUGUGAUUAUUUUACAAAAUUAAGAGGGCCAUACAGUGAUACAGUAUUAAAAAAAAAAGCCAUGAAAAGGAAUAAUAUUACGAUGUUGAGCUUGGAAAACUUCCGUGAGUAAAUAGCACCGAAGUAGAAGAAUUAGAGGAUAGGGAAAACUAGUAACUCAUCCGUCUGCAAUUGCAUCCUCUUUUGUGGUCAAAUACUUGGCACCUGCUCAUGGACCGUGUGUCUUGUUUUUUCCAUCGUCUAGGAAACACCUCGGGAUGAGGAGGAUUUAACAAGUUUGUGCUUUGGUCAGCUAAAGUUCCAAAAGUAGCUUAAGGUUGUGAAGGUGUCUGGAGGAUUGGCAUGUAUUAGCAGAAUCAACUGUUGUUUUAAGAUCUGAUAUACGUAGUAUUUAAUGUUGUGGGUCUGCGAAUAAACUGGUACAAGUCUAGUUUCGCAUUUUUAACUGAAGCUUGACUAUCAAGGCCUGAAGAAUCGGUUACUUUUUCUCUCAAUUUGAAGUAUUCUUGACUCAAACAAUUGCUUUACUUUAAAGUUGUUGAAAAAACAUUGGGUUCCUGUCCUUUUACUAUCAGCAAGAGAUCCUAAACCCACUGGAAUCAUGCUGCCACUGGGGGUCAUAUUCCUUUGACCUCCCAUUUAAGUUGUUAAGACUAAUUAUUACUG